rnacentral:lncRNA from 10 species
CCUGGCCAUACAUUUUAAGAAGAGUUCUGCAAACAGCCCCGACCAUUCUCUCAACCUGCCCGAGAGCUUUGAGCUCCCUUUCCUUCACCCAUUCUCUAGCAGGAAGGUAUUAUAUAACCAGACCUGAAGUUUAACACAGCCAGGUAUGUGACUGAACUUCAGGCUUGAGAGUUUGUGCACCACAGCCCUAGAGCUCCUCCAACAGAGGUGGGUACCGUGGGAAGUUUGCUGGGAAGACUCCGGUCAGCUGAUGAGUGGUUUUAGGCAGUGAGUGGAACAGACUGUUUCCAACACACAGCGGAGCCCACUCAAGCCUCAGGAAUGUUAUAACCUUUCCUCACCGGAAGUCAGGUGUUUGUCUAGCUUGACCCAGGUCAAGGCGUGCUUGGACUGAAUAGAGCCAGUCUUUUCCCCCAGCUGAGCCUAUCUGUUUUGACCCAGUCAGGGCCAGGAGUCACAGGAGAUACAGGCUGGAGGUUAAUAAUAGUGGUAGAAGGUAGAUUUCUUGUGCAAUUUGCAUUCAAUGAAGAGCCAGAAAAAGUGACUUGAUUAAUAGGAUAUCAACAUGGGUCGUGGGGAGCCAAUACCCCAGUACUUUGGAUAGAAAGCCUAUGGUUCUGAACUGAAGGAUUCUGAUGCUUUCUUCAUCAAACAGUGAGCAAUGCCAGGCACAAUUCUAAGGGCCUUACAUGUGUUAAGUCCUUCAAUCCUCACUAUUCUGUGAGGUAGGUUCUGUUAUUAUCCUUCUUUGUAUAAGCACAGAGAGGUUAACUAACUUGGUUAAAUUUCCAUGCCUAUUUAGUGAUGACUUUGCUGAAUUCAGGUUCUAGAACCUGUGAUGCUAUCCACCUUACUAGACUGCUUCUUUAAAGUUAAAUAAGGGCCUCACUCUGAAGUCACUAAUUGAGCUGUGAAAAGCAGUUUCAUUCAAGCUAGUAUUUCAUAAAGCAAGGCAGAAUGACUUUGCAAAGAACACAGGCCAAGAAACCAGAAAUUGGGACCCAAGCAUGGCCACCCACCUGAAUUCCACUCAGAUCAAUGCUCCUCUGGUUGUUUGACUUCCCGGACUUCCCUCCCCUAAGGGCACAGAGCUCUCACCAAACCUGAGAUUUCACACACAAGCGGCCUGCUUAGCAGGUACCAUCUCCACCAAAACACACAUUUGAAGAGCUGUAACCUCAGCUCCAUCUUCCUGGUAUCCUUCCUCCUUAACCUUAGAAGGUACAAAGAGGAGGGCCAGGCACAAUGGCUCAUGCUGGUAAUCCCAGCACUUUGGGAGGCCAAGGUGGGCAGAUCCCUUGAGUCCAGGAGUUCGAGACCAGCCUGGGCACAUGGUGAAAACCCAUCUCUAUAAAAAAUACAGAAAUUAGCUGGGUGCGGUGGCACAUGGCUGUAGUCCCAGCUACUUGGCAGGUAGCUGAAGUGGGAGGAUCACUUGAGCCUGGGAGGUUGAGGCUGCGGUGAGCCAAGAUUGAGCCACUGCACUCCAGCCUGGGUGACAAAGAAAGACCCUGUCGAAGAAGAAGAAGCAGCAGCAGCAGAAAAAGAAGAAGAAGAAGAAGCAGAAGAAGCAGAAGAAGAAGCAGAAGAAGAAGAAGCAGAAGAAGAAGAAGAAGAAACAAAGGGGAGGAUGCAACUUGGAGAGGCCCAGCCCCUAGGAGAAAGCCUAACUGCAGUAAAGGAGUCCUGGAGACAGGACAAGAAUGAAGUCAAUGAAGCAUAGCAGGAGUGGAGAUAAAGACGCGCAUGAAAUUUGGUGCUGUGACUCGGAUUGGGGGACCUCCCUUGGGAGAUCAAUCCCCUGUACUCCUGUUCUUUGCUCCGUGAGAAAGAUCCACCUAUGAUCUCAGGUCCUCAGACCGACCAGCCCAAGGAACAUCUCACCAAUUUUAAAUCAGGUAAGCGGCCUCUUCUUACUCUCUUCUCCAACCUCUCUCACUGUCCCUCAACCACUUUCUCCUUUCCACUCUUCAAUCUCUCCCUUCUCUUAAUUUCAAUUCCUUUCAUUUUCUGGUAGAGACAAAGGAGACACGUUUUAUCCGUGGACCCAAAACUCCGGCGCCAGUCACGGACUGGGAAGGCAGCCUUCCCUUGGUGUUUAAUCAGUGCAGGGACGCCUCUCUGAUUAUACACCCACGUUUCAAGGGUGUCAGACCACGCAGGGACGCCUGCCUUGGUCCUUCAACCUCAGCGGCAAGUCCCGCUUUUCUGGGGUAGGGGCAAGUAGCUCAACCCCUUCUCUCCUUGUCUCUACCCCUUCUCUGCUUUUCUGGGAGAGGGGCAAGUACCCCUCAACCCCUUCUCCUUCACCCUUAGCGGCAAGUCCCGCUUUCCUAGGGGGCAAGAAGCCCCCAAUAGCUUAUUUCCGCACCCCAACCUCUUAUCUCUGUGCCCCAAUCCCUUAUUUCCGCACCCUGACCUCUUAUCUCUGUGCCCCAAUCCCUUAUUUCCGUGCCCCAACUCCUUCUCUGCUUUUCUGGAGGGCAAGAACCCCCCACCCCUUCUCCGUGUCUCUACUCUUCUCUGGGCUUGCCUCCUUCACUAUGGGUAAGCUUCCACCUUCCAUUCCUCCUUCUUCUCCCUUAGCCUGUGUUCUCAAAAACUUAAAACCUCUUCAACUCACACCUGACCUAAAACCUAAAUGCCUUAUUUUCUUCUGCAAUGCCGCUUGACCCCAAUACAAACUCGACAGUAGUUCCAAAUAGCCAGAAAAUGGCACUUUGAAUUUUUCCAUCCUGCAAAAUCUAAAUAAUUCUUGUCAUAAAAUAGGCAAACGAUCUGAGGUGCCUGACGUCCAGGCAUUCUUUUACACAUCAGUCCCGUCCUAGUCUCUGUGCCCAGUGCAACUCGUCCCAAAUCUUCCUUCUUUCCCUCCCGCCUGUCCCCUCAGUACCAACCCCAAGCGUCGCUGAAUCUUUCUAAUCUUCCUUUUCUACAGACCCACCUGACCUCUCCCUUCCUCCCAGGCUGCUCCUCGCCAGGCCGAGCUAGGUCCCAAUUCUUCCUCAGCCUCUGCUCCUCCACCCUAUAAUCCUUUUAUCACCUCCCCUCCUCACACCUGGUCCGGCUUACAGUUUCGUUCCGUGACUAGCCCUCCCCCACCUGCCCAGCAAUUUACUCUUAAAAAGGUGGCUGGAGCUAAAGGCAUAGUCAAGGUUAAUGCUCCUUUCUCUUUAUCCCAAAUCAGAAGCGUUUAGGCUCUUUUUCAUCAAAUAUAAAAAUCCAGCCCAGUUCAUGGCUCGUUCGGCAGCAACCCUGAGACACUUUACAGCCCUAGACCCUAAAAGGUCAAAAGGCCGUCUUAUUCUCAAAAUACAUUUUAUUACCCAAUCUGCUCCCAACAUUAAAUAAAACUCCAAAAAUUAAAUUCCGGCCCUCAAACCCCACAACAGGAUUUAAUUAACCUCGCCUUCAAGGUGUACCAUAAUAGAAAAAAGUUGCAAUUCCUUGCCUCCACUGUGAGACAAACCCCAGCCACAUCUCCAGCACACAAGAACUUCCAAACGCCUGAACCGCAGCGGCCAGGUGUUCCCCCAGAACCUCCUCCCCCAGGAGCUUGCUACACGUGCCGGAAAUCUGGCCACUGGGCCAAGGAAUGCCCGCAGCCCGGGAUUCCUCCUAAGCCGCGUCCCAUCUGUGCGGGACCCCACUGGAAAUCGGACUGUUCGACUCACCUGGCAGCCACUCCCAGAGCCCCUGGAACUCUGGCCCAAGGCUCUCUGACUGACUCCUUCCCAGAUCUUCUCGGCUUAGCGGCUGAAGACUGACGCUGCCCGAUCGCCUCAGAAGCCCCCUAGACCAUCACCGACGCUGAGCUUCGGGUAACUCUCACAGUGGAAGAUGAAGAAACUGGGGCUCUGAAUGGCAUAUUAACGCGUGCAGCUCCAGACAGCGAGGAAGUGAUGGCAACUCUAUCCGAACUCAAAUCUGCCAGACCUAUACCAGUAGGUGCCUGUGUGCAGUUGGGGACUCACCUCUGCCAGUGCUGGCAUGAGCUAGCUGUCUUGAACUGAAAACAGACACUCAAAGAUGGGCUGUGGGAUCCCAGAGAGGUGGCAGAAUGGUCAAAGCUAUGAAGCCAACAGCUGCUGCCAACAAGAAAGUCCUGAGCCCUGAGUGAUUGUAAUUUAAACUUAAUGCUGGGAGUGGGUGUUUAUUUUGGAGGAGUGGGCUGCUUAUUUUUGGUUUGGGGACUUGUUCAUUCAUCUUUUCUCAGCGGCGCCUACUGCUGCCCUGGCCCGAAGUUAAAGCUCAAUAAAUCACUGUUGCACAACUGAGUGCCCACGCCUAGAUUGUAAGUUCCUGGAAGGCAAGGAUUUGUGUCCCACACUUGUUUUGUACCCUCCAGGAUCUUGCACAGCACUUGGCGAAUGGGUAUUGAAUGAAUUCAUUCACUGAAGCGUCUCUCUGGUGCCAGGCCCAGUGCUAAGUGAUGGGAAUACACAGAUGAAUACGAUAUGGUCCCUGCUCUUGGGUAACUCAUUAUUCUGGUAAAUGAAUAAAGGAAA